rnacentral:rRNA from 1 species
GAUGAACGCUGGCGGCGUGCCUAAUACAUGCAAGUCGAGCGAACGGACGAGAAGCUUGCUCCUCAGAUGUUAGCGGCGGACGGGUGAGUAACACGUGGAUAACCUACCUAUAAGACUGGGAUAACUUCGGGAAACCGUAGCUAAUACCGGAUAAUAUUUUGAACCGCAUGGUUCAAAAGUGAAAGACGGUCUUGCUGUCACUUAUAGAUGGAUCCGCGCUGCAUUAGCUAGUUGGUAAGGUAACGGCUUACCAAGGCAACGAUGCAUAGCCGACCUGAGGGGGUGAUCGGCCACACUGGAACUGAGACACGGUCCAGACUCCUACGGGAGGCAGCAGUAGGGAAUCUUCCGCAAUGGGCGAAAGCCUGACGGAGCAACGCCGCGUGAGUGAUGAAGGUCUUCGGAUCGUAAAACUCUGUUAUUAGGGAAGAACAUAUGUGUAAGUAACUGUGCACAUCUUGACGGUUCCUAAUCAGAAAGCCACGGCUAACUACGUG